rnacentral:rRNA from 1 species
AUUGAACGCUGGCGGCAGGCCUAACACAUGCAAGUCGAACGGUAACAGGAAGAAGCUCGCUUCUUUGCUGACGAGUGGCGGACGGGUGAGUAAUGUCUGGGAAACUGCCUGAUGGAGGGGGAUAACUACUGGAAACGGUAGCUAAUACCGCAUAACGUCGCAAGACCAAAGAGGGGGACCUUCGGGCCUCUUGCCAUCGGAUGUGCCCAGAUGGGAUUAGCUAGUAGGUGGGGUAACGGCUCACCUAGGCGACGAUCCCUAGCUGGUCUGAGAGGAUGACCAGCCACACUGGAACUGAGACACGGUCCAGGCUCCUACGGGAGGCAGCAGUGGGGAAUAUUGCACAAUGGGCGCAAGCCUGAUGCAGCCAUGCCGCGUGUAUGAAGAAGGCCUUCGGGUUGUAAAGUACUUUCAGCGGGGAGGAAGGGAGUAAAGUUAAUACCUUUACUCAUUGACGUUACCCGCAGAAGAAGCACCGGCUAACUCCGUG